rnacentral:rRNA from 1 species
GACGAACGCUGGCGGCGUGCUUAACACAUGCAAGUCGAACGAGGAAGCAAAGAAUCGACGCUUCGGCCGAGAUUCAUUUCGGUUUAGUGGCAGACGGGUGAGUACCGCGUGAGCAACCUACCUCUUACAAAGGGAUAGCCUCGGGAAACUGGGAUUCAUACCAUCUAACAUUGCGACGAAGCAUUUCGGUGGAAUCAAAGCUACGUCGGUAAGAGAUGGGCGCGCGUCACAUUAACCGGAUGGUGGGGUAACGGCUUGCCAUGGUGGCGAUGGGUAACCGGCCUGAUAGGGGGAACAGUCACAAUGGAGCUGAGACACAGACCAGACUCCGACGGAGGGCAGCAGUAGGGUGUAUUACACAAUGAAGGGAAAUCUGAUACAGCAACGCCGCGUGAGAGAUGAAGGAAUUCGUUUCGUAAAUCUCUGUGCUAUGAGAAGAGAAUGACGGUACCGUAGGAGAAAGCACCGGCUAAAUACGUG